GUAGGGAAUAUUGGGUAAUGGAUGCAAGUCUGACCCAGCCAUCCCGCGUGCCGGAAGAAGGCCCUCAGGGUUGUAAACGGCUUUUGACGGUGAAGAAUCGACAGGAUGCGUCCUGUUUUGACGGUAGCCGUUGAAUAAGCACCGGCUAACUCCGUGCCAGCAGCCGCGGUAAUACGGCGGGUGCGAGCGUUGUCCGGAUGUAUUGGGUUUAAAGGGUGCGUAGGCUGGAAGGUCAGUCAGCGGUGAAAAGCUGUCGCUUAACGAUAGUCUUGCCGCAGAUACUUCCUUUCUUGGAUGAGGAGGAGGCCACUGGAACGGAUGGUGUAGCGGUGAAAUGCAUAGAUAUCAUCCAGAACACCGAUUGCGAAGGCAGGUGGCUGUACCUUAAUCGACGCUGAUGCACGAAAGCAUGGGGAGCAAACAGGAUUAGAAACCCCUGUAGUCC
rnacentral:rRNA from 1 species